rnacentral:rRNA from 1 species
CCUACGGGGUGCUGCAGUGGGGAAUAUUGGACAAUGGGCGAAAGCCUGAACCAGCCAUGCCGCGUGUGUGAAGAAGGCCUUCGGGUUGUAAAGCACUUUCAGUGGGGAAGAAAGCCUUGGGGCUAAUACCCUCGAGGAAGGACAUCACCCACAGAAGAAGCACCGGCUAACUCCGUGCCAGCAGCCGCGGUAAUACGGAGGGUGCGAGCGUUAAUCGGAAUUACUGGGCGUAAAGCGCGCGUAGGCGGUCUGAUAAGCCGGUUGUGAAAGCCCCGGGCUCAACCUGGGAACGGCAUCCGGAACUGUCAGGCUAGAGUGCCGGAGAGGAAGGUAGAAUUCCCGGUGUAGCGGUGAAAUGCGUAGAGAUCGGGAGGAAUACCAGUGGCGAAGGCGGCCUUCUGGACUGACACUGACGCUGAGGUGCGAAAGCGUGGGUAGCAAACAGGAUUAGAUACCCCUGUAGUC